rnacentral:misc_RNA from 1 species
UUUUGGUGAUUAAUAACUUUACUCUUUCAUUCAGUGGUAUGCAAGGGCAGCAGACUUUGUCAUGUAAGAAGCUUUGUUUCUUUUAAGCAAGCUAACAUUUACAAGGGCCAUAAUAAAACUCGUGUUAAUAAAAGAAAAAAGAGUCUUACAACUGUAUAUAUCUGAUGUACAGUGUGUUAGCUUCAUGCCUUCCAACUCAAUCAUGAUGAUAGUGCAAGCUCCGCCCAUGCUAAAGAUGAUGCCUUAAACUCAAGGGACACAGAUGUGUCAAUUUUGCUCUCCAACG